CUGCACUCAUAACCUACUGAUAUCCUACUGUAUGAAACGCAGGUAAAACACUGCACUCAUAACCUACUGAUAUCCUACUGUAUGAAACGCAGGUAAAACACUGCACUCAUAACCUACUGAUAUCCUACUGUAUGAAACGCAGGUAAAACACUGCACUCAUAACCUACUGAUAUCCUACUGUAUGAAACGCAGGUAAAACACUGCACUCAUAACCUACUGAUAUCCUACUGUAUGAAACGCAGGUAAAACACUGCACUCAUAACCUACUGAUAUCCUACUGUAUGAAACGCAGGUAAAACACUGCACUCAUAACCUACUGAUAUCCUACUGUAUGAAACGCAGGUAAAACACUGCACUCAUAACCUACUGAUAUCCUACUGUAUGAAACGCAGGUAAAACACUGCACUCAUAACCUACUGAUAUCCUACUGUAUGAAACGCAGGUAAAACACUGCACUCAUAACCUACUGAUAUCCUACUGUAUGAAACGCAGGUAAAACACUGCACUCAUAACCUACUGAUAUCCUACUGUAUGAAACGCAGGUAAAAUACUGCACUCAUAACCUACUGAUAUCCUACUGUAUGAAACGCAGGUGGUCUGUGAACACUGGAGAGCC